rnacentral:rRNA from 1 species
CUACGGGAGGCAGCAGUGGGGAAUUUUGGACAAUGGGCGCAAGCCUGAUCCAGCAAUGCCGCGUGAGUGAAGAAGGCCUUCGGGUUGUAAAGCUCUUUUGUCAGGGAAGAAACGGGAGUGGCUAAUAUCCAUUCCUAAUGACGGUACCUGAAGAAUAAGCACCGGCUAACUACGUGCCAGCAGCCGCGGUAAUACGUAGGGUGCAAGCGUUAAUCGGAAUUACUGGGCGUAAAGCGUGCGCAGGCGGUUUUGUAAGUCUGUCGUGAAAUCCCCGGGCUCAACCUGGGAAUUGCGAUGGAGACUGCAAGGCUAGAAUCUGGCAGAGGGGGGUAGAAUUCCACGUGUAGCAGUGAAAUGCGUAGAGAUGUGGAGGAACACCGAUGGCGAAGGCAGCCCCCUGGGUCAAGAUUGACGCUCAUGCACGAAAGCGUGGGGAGCAAACAGGAUUAGAUACCCUGGUAGUCCACGCCCUAAACGAUGUCUACUAGUUGUCGGGUUUUAAUUAACUUGGUAACGCAGCUAACGCGUGAAGUAGACCGCCUGGGGAGUACGGUCGCAAGAUUAAAACUCAAAGGAAUUGACG